rnacentral:rRNA from 1 species
UACGGGGGGGGCAAGCGUUGUUCGGAAUUACUGGGCGUAAAGGGCUCGUAGGCGGCCAACUAAGUCAGACGUGAAAUCCCCAGGCUCAACCUGGGAACUGCGUCUGAUACUGGAUGGCUUGAAUCCGGGAGAGGGAUGCAGAAUUCCAGGUGUAGCGGUGAAAUGCGUAGAUAUCAGGAGGAACACCAAUGGCGAAGGCAGAUCUCUGGGCCGUAACUGACGCUGAGGAGCGAAAGCAUGGGGAGCGAACAGG